GUAGUGGUGGUUUAGUGGACAGACCAUUGGAUUUAGAAUCAAAAGAUCUAGGUUCAAAUUUUAGCUAUUCUA
rnacentral:tRNA from 1 species